rnacentral:rRNA from 1 species
UACGUAGGGUGCAAGCGUUGUCCGGAAUUAUUGGGCGUAAAGAGCUCGUAGGCGGUUUGUUGCGUCGGCUGUGAAAUCCCGAGGCUCAACCUCGGGUCUGCAGUCGAUACGAGCAAACUAGAGUGUUGCAGGGGAGACUGGAAUUCCUGGUGUAGCGGUGAAAUGCGCAGAUAUCAGGAGGAACACCGGUGGCGAAGGCGGGUCUCUGGGCAACAACUGACGCUGGAGGAGCGAAAGCGUGGGGAGCGAUCCGG